rnacentral:snoRNA from 2 species
AGGCCGUGAUAGGGACACUUGCGUAAUAGCUCCUUGAACCUUUCCCAUGUUUCAUAUAAGGAUUCCCCGUCCUCUUGUGAGUAUGUAUUAAUUUCAGCCAUUAAUUU